rnacentral:rRNA from 1 species
UACGGAGGGGGCUAGCGUUGUUCGGAAUUACUGGGCGUAAAGCGCACGUAGGCGGCUUUGUAAGUUAGAGGUGAAAGCCCGGGGCUCAACUCCGGAAUUGCCCUUAAGACUGCAUCGCUAGAAUUGUGGAGAGGUAAGUGGAAUUCCGGGUGUAGAGGUGAAAUUCGUAGAUAUUCGGAAGAACACCAGUGGCGAAGGCGACUUACUGGACACAUAUUGACGCUGAGGUGCGAAAGCGUGGGGAGCAAACAGG